UACGGAGGAUGCAAGCGUUAUCCGGAAUGAUUGGGCGUAAAGCGUCCGCAGGUGGCUGUGUAAGUCUGCUGUCAAAGAGCGAAGCUCAACUUCGUAAAGGCAGUGGAAACUACACGGCUAGAGUGCGUUCGGGGCAGAGGGAAUUCCUGGUGUAGCGGUGAAAUGCGUAGAGAUCAGGAAGAACACCGGUGGCGAAGGCGCUCUGCUAGGCCGCAACUGACGCUGAGGAGCGAAAGCGUGGGGAGCGAACAGG
rnacentral:rRNA from 1 species